rnacentral:rRNA from 1 species
AGUGAACGCUGGCGGUAGGCCUAACACAUGCAAGUCGAACGGCAGCACAGUAAGAGCUUGCUCUUACGGGUGGCGAGUGGCGGACGGGUGAGGAAUACAUCGGAAUCUACUUUUUCGUGGGGGAUAACGUAGGGAAACUUACGCUAAUACCGCAUACGACCUACGGGUGAAAGCAGGGGAUCUUCGGACCUUGCGCGAUUGAAUGAACCGAUGUCGGAUUAGCUAGUUGGCGGGGUAAAGGCCCACCAAGGCGACGAUCCGUAGCUGGUCUGAGAGGAUGAUCAGCCACACUGGAACUGAGACACGGUCCAGACUCCUACGGGAGGCAGCAGUGGGGAAUAUUGGACAAUGGGCGCAAGCCUGAUCCAGCCAUACCGCGUGGGUGAAGAAGGCCUUCGGGUUGUAAAGCCCUUUUGUUGGGAAAGAAAAGCAGCAGGUUAAUACCCCGCUGUUCUGACGGUACCCAAAGAAUAAGCACCGGCUAACUUCGU